GCCCCGCGUCGGCUGCAGACCCCGCCCCGGGCCGGGUCGCAGGAGGGGGCGCCCCUCUGGCCUCGGAUGCCCCGGAUUUGGGGGGCCUGGAGCGCCUGCCUCGGGGCUCGCGGGGGCGAUGGGCGGGGAGACGCGCAGAUCUCUGCGGCGCACGAGCGGAGCCUGCCGAGCCCUGGGCGGGGUCGGUAACGCGGCAAGGCUGCAGCUGCCGGGGCCGCGCUUUCUCCUCCCCCGGGCCUGCUGGACACGCUCGCCGCCCUAUUUCUAGCACCGCGACGGCGCUGGGCAGUGUACUUGCUGACCGAACAAGUGAAUCCACCCAUCCCUCCAUCCUAGGAAAGGCUGGACCGCACGGCCACCUGACGUAGUUGGACUGGAGGAGUGAGUGGAUGGCGGCUGGUGGCCCCGGUAGGGCUGAAAUGGACUGCCGGGCACGAGCCGCCCGCCGCCCGCCCCAGGCCCACAGCUAGCCGCGAGCCCCAGGGGCGGUGAAUUCGCAGGGUGUCCUUACUGAGGCAGGGAGUCCUGGACUAUUUACCCACUCCUUCAGGAACGCCCAUCGGUAGCUAUCCCUUUGGGGAUAGCACAGAGUCCUAGGUUAGGAUGAAUCCAUGGGCCUCUCUUCAAUAUAUAGUCAAACUCCAGUUCCACAGAGAAAAAGAAAAUUCCCUCUAGGGCCGUCACUGCGCAAUUAUCAGCAUGUAAAAAGCCCAAUUUUCUCAAUGAUUUUCCUGACUUUAAGAGGCCCCCAAGACCUCAGCUUUCCUCCAGCCCCUGGAGAAUAAAACAAAGAUGUCGUCCCCAAUCUAGACGCAGAUACCAGCUACUACUCUCCAGCCUUGUUUCAAAGGGAGAAAAACAAAUGACCCCCCCAAAAGUCAAAUGAAGCAAAUAAAGAAUUAUCAGGAAUUAAUUUUCUGUGACCACUUACGUCCUUCCCUUCUGGCCGGCCACACACAUCCCACCAGGCCCAGACAGAGUUUCAGUCCUGACCCUGUGGAUCCAGCAUCACUGGCCCAGCCUCCAGAGAAGGCAAUGGCACCCCACUCGAGUACUCUUGCCUGGAAAAUCCCGUGGAGGGAGGAGCCUGGUGGGCGGCAGUCCAUGGGGUCGAAGAGUCGGACACGAUUGAGCAACUUCACUUUCACUUUUAUGCAUUGGAGAAGGAAAUGGCAACCUACUCCAGUGUUCUUGCCUGGAGAAUCCCAGGGACGGCAGAGCCUGGUGGGCUGCCGUCUAUGGGGUCGCAAAGAGUCGGACAAAACUGAAGCGACUUAGCAGCAGCAGCAGCAUGUUGUCUUGAUUAAUCAUAUUUAAGAAUAUAAAGUUUUCAAAGGAAUUAUCAAUUAACUUCAUUUCUGAUAUUUAUUUUUGGCUGUGCUGGGUCUUCCUUGCUGCACAAAGGCUUUCUCUGGUUGCAGCAAGCAGAGGCUAUUCUCUAGUUGUGGUG
ensembl:lncRNA